rnacentral:lncRNA from 1 species
CAAGACCAAGUUUGGUAAUAAGCACAGAUAUUUCACAUUCUUAAUACUUGAAUUAGCCACUGAAAUUCUAUUUAAAAUUACCUCUUUUUAUAGCAAAUAAUAUGAAACACAGCAGCUAUUUCUCCAUUCAAACAAGUUACAACUAGCCCAGUAUCAUUUUAGGCAAAUAGUGGAAGCUCUCAAAAGAAAGAUGGCUGAAAUGUCAAAGAGGGUCAAAAGACAGCUCAACAAAAGAUCAGCAACUCAGAACUGGCUGUGGUUUACAGUUCAGCCCUGUUAGAAUGUGGAUUAUCUCUUUUGAACAGUUAAUGGAAUGGAAAUGGCAUAUAAGAUUUCUUUGCAUCAAUAAAAAGAAGCUCAACAAUGAGGUCUUGUAUGAAAAAUAGUGAGAAUGUGAUAAAAGAAAUACUUUGACAGAUCAGCUCAACAUCACGUACUACUGAAGAAGGAAGAUUUAAUGUACAUAAAGAGAUUUCGGGGAGUUCCUGUCUUGGCGCAACAGAAAUGAGUCUGACUAGGAACCAUGAGGUUGUGGGUUCCAUCCCUGGCCUCGCUCAGUGGGUUAAGAGGUGUUGCUGUGAGCUGUGGUGUAGGUCACAGAUGUGGCUCGGAUAUGGCGUUGCUGUAGCUCAGUGGGCUGGGGAUCUAGCAUUGCCGUGAGCUGUGGUGUGGGUUGCAGAUGUGGCUCGGAUCCCACGUUGCUGUGGCGGCUACAGCUCCGAUUGGACCCCUAGCCUGGGAACCUCCAUAUGCCGUGGGAGCGGCCCUAGAGAAGACAAAAAAAAACACAGUAUCUGUAGAGUACAAUAAAGUGAAGAGUAAUAAAAUAAGACAUAGUAGACACUAUUGAUUACACUAGAGAAAAAAAUGUAAACCAGGAUUCACCAGUGGCACAUCAGAUUAUUCUACUGAUAGGACAAGUAAGAAAAGGAUUGGGAAAUCACUCCUGAAUUUAACAGUAUGAAGUACAUUUGUGAUGUUAAUGAAAGCAGUUUUGAUGGGGAGAUAAGGUGUAACAUGUGACUAAAAUGGGUUUAAAAUAAAUAAAGAGAACUUGGAGACAACAAAAUUAGCCAACUCUUUAGAGAGGUCAUUGUGAUAUGGUGAUGUAAGAAUCAAACUGCAGCUAUUGGGGAGGUAGGGGAAAUAAAAUAUUUGUUGUUUAAGAUGGGAGAAUUCAUAGUAUGUUUGUAUGGUGGUAGAUGAUACAAUAGAGAAGGAAAAAUUGACAAUUAGAAGAGAGAGGAGAGAUGAGAGAAUUGCUAGAGCAAAGUCCCUGAGUAACUUGAGAAUAGUUGGGACAUAUUGGUAACAUGAGUUGGAAAUCUGAGGGGUUUUGUGAUGAAUGAUGUAAGUAAGAAUAAAGAACAUUAAAACAUUUGGUGGUAAAUGACAAAUAUCCCCCAAAUAUCAGGCCGUAAUCCUUGAGAUCUGUAAAUAUUAUUACAUAUAGCAAAGGAUAUGAAUAAGUUAAGGAUUUGGGGAUGAGAGAUUAUCCUGGACUAUCUAAGUGGAUCCUAAACAUAACUGCUUGGGUCGUUAUCAGAGAAAGACAAGAAAUUUCAUAUAGACACACGGAGAAGGCGAUGUGAGAAUGAGGGCAGAAAUUGGAGUGAUGUGACCAUCUGCCAAGGGAUGCAGGUUGCCACGUCUUACUUAUGUAUGUGUCUCACUCCUGGCCUAGGGUGACUGAAAGGUCAGACUGACUGGGCAUCUUCCAUUCUUCAUGCUGCUUUCUUUCUUGCUGGCUUAGAUUUCCUCAUAGUAUGCCAGUUUAAUGAAAGUUGGGCUUUUUACAUAGAGCUUGGCUUUCCCCGGAGUGUGCAUUCCAAGAGGAGUUGGCAGAAGGCUUCUUAUGAUCCAAGAUUAGAAGUUUCAAAAAAAAAACAUUUAUGCAUCACAUUGGUCAGGCAACUAAGCUAGCCCAAGGCAAGUGGAAUUAGACCCCACCUCUCCGUGAAAGAAGUAGAAAAGGAUAUGUGGCAAUUUUUAAUCUACCACACAUACCAAAGAAAAGGAUGUGAGAUACACUUAUAUUUCAGAGGAGAAAUAUGAGAAAACAGAGAAUAAAUAACAGCAUUUCUGAAAUCAAUGAAGGAGUUUCCAGAAGUAAUUAGGUUUGUUAUUGGAAAGUUAAUCGAAUAUCUUAAAGUAAGUUUGUCUACCUGAACUGAGGGAGAAAGUACAGAAUUACAGCACUGAAGACAAUUGAUACACUUAGUUCUUUCUCCCUGAGAAUGUAAAAUUCUAUUUAUAUAUAGAUACUUGAGGAAUCAAUUUAUAUGACUAAUUGUUAUAAGAUUCAAUAUUUGUAGCCAAUGCAAUAUCUAUAUCAUUUUCAUUUUAAUAAGUUAAACUUAUGUUAUCUUUUUAGUUGACUUAAGUGACCAUUUAGUUUGUCAAAUAAAGGACAACUCCGAAAUAUCUUUAGUGAAUUCAAUCAAGACUACCGCUCAUGGAGCCUUCUGGUAUGUGAAGUGUGUGUGUAUAGGAGGUGGUGAAAAAGUGGAUCAGAUUUGCAUAGGAACACAAUAGUUUUCUGAGUGAAAGGGAUUAAGAUCCCAAUUAUCUCUCAAUUAGCUUCAAAAUUAUUAAAAUCCAUCAGAGGGACUAGGAUCUUAGGAAAAAGCAGUGAGUACUUUGAAAUAAAAUUACUUAAAAGAAAAAAGAAAGGAUGAGUCUGGGCUGAUGAUCAGAUGACCAGAGAUCUAGAUGAAAGGCUUCAAGACUAAAUGAAAGUAUGAUGUCUUUGACCUUCAAUGUAACUUGUGCUUGAAACUCCUCCACACAUCGGCCCAGCCACUGUGCAUGUCCUUAUCUGUGGAGGACCUUGGUUGACUCUAGGCAUAUAAAUCAACAAACAAGCCUGAAAAUCCAACAACCUUGACCCCAAGAGAGUAGGAAUGUCUUUUUUUCAAAGACCCCAGGCUGUGCAGGAACCUGGACAAGUGAGGCUCCACUACAGAGAGAACUGGGACUUCCAGGCAAGUAUCAUCAUCUACAGGACAGUGGAAAAGCAACUCAGAGUCUUCUGAAGCCCAGAGACCUCUCUGAUGGGAGUAAAAGUCAGAAAAUCCUCCAUCUUUUGGAUUAGUUAAGCCCCAGGGCUCUAGAAAAUUGGGGAAUAUGGGAGAUUUAGAGUACAAAUAGUUUUUCAGCUUUGAAGUAUUUUAGUAUGUGAGAUUCAGGAUGCUCAGUUUUUGUUGCUGUUAUUUAAGUUCAGUUUAGUUUAAUUUAGUUCAUUAUCUCAUUUGCACGCAGUUUGUGAAUAGCCAAUUACAAAAGCAUAAACAAGGGAGGGAGAAAAGGAGAGUAACAGAGAAUCACAGAGACUGGGCAGACAGAUAAAAAGAGACAGAGACAAAGAAAGAAACUACAGAUAAUUUUCUUUCAAAAUUGUUAAGAAAAACAUUUUGCUCCAUAUUUAAACUUGAUCUAGACCAGUAUCAUUUGAAUUUUAUGUUUGAAAGAGAAAGUUAAAAUUUCAUAAUUUUCCUUUCUAUUUCUGG